CUGGUGAACUGCUCUACCUCCUGGGCAAUAAGCAGCACUAGGGCAACCUUAAUCCUACAUCAGAGAAGUAGUCCCAGAGGAAGCCCAAACGUUCACUGAUCGUCCUUUCUUCUUUAGUGCUGCUGAACCAUUUCCCCACUUCUUUGCCAUAGUUUGUUUUUGGCUUACAUUAUGGUAAAAUAUUUUUCCCUAAAAAGUGCUCCUGCACCAAUAUUUCAAUAUUUUUAAGCCAAAGAGCAUUUCAGCACAAAUGGAAAGAUCAGUGUUAAAAAUUGUGCUUGAGAGGCCACUUCAUCCAUUGCACGGCAUCCUGAAUCUACUUUCUGCAUCUUAACCAAUGGACGGGACUCUUUUUACGGCAGUAAAUAAGGGCUUCCUGAGAAUACUGGAUUAUAACUUCCAUACGUGACCCAGGCAACUAGACCGAUACAACAUGAAAAGCUGGUGGCUGCUUCCAAACUGAACUUCAAUUCACUUGAAUUUUAGGCAUUUUUCCAAGGCCAGAAGCAUCUCCUGACCACAUCCUUUCCAAUUGCUCAGAACGGUGACUGUUUCUUGCACAGAUUUCUCUUUAAGACACCUCCAAGUAUUACGAAAUGCAAGCGGAGCCAUUCAAGGAUGAAAAAUGAUUGCGACAUGCUCUGUGGAAAAGACCUUCACAGUUGCCAAGUGGUGUUUCUGCUAGGUUCCCCUGGGACCUGAAGCACCUGAAGACUGUCCCCGAUGUGACUUCAGACCUUGGCACUUACCCCAGGACUUCCUGGCACAAUCUUGAUCCAACUGAGCAUUUGGAAAUUAAUUCAUUUCAGUUGCAGUGUUUUAAUUUUGAUGUUCCAAUGGGAACCCUGUUGAAUGGAAGGGAACUCACUUCUGAAUAAUAAGCAGACACAAUAAGCUUGAGUAACACAUGGGCUGUAAAUCUAGUUAGUUGAAAUAAAGAGGAUCAAAAGUGCUUAAUUUUAACUGGGUUGUGCCCAGUUAACAUCCAACACAUAUAUGUUAUUGAUUUGCAUCUUUAAAAAGCUAUCUGUGCACCUAGGCAUAUACAAAAUCAAAUAUUGCUGUAAGCUAUACUAGUAUGUGACAAGAUAGGUCAGCAACAAUAAAUAUUUAAUUAGAGUCAUCAGAGCCCUGUAAUCUGCUUCAGUAAGGAGGCUUGUGAGUGGUCCUGUCCUUACAGCUUUACUGUGAGAAUUUAUGGGCAGUGAUUGGUAGAUUCUUCUAGCUUUGUUUUCCUUCCCACUCAACAUUAACAGCUGGCUGGAAAAAUCACACCAAUUGCUUUUCUUAAGGUGGUGCAGGGUGGGCUUGGGCGAGUGGGAGUGGGUGUCAGCCUUCCCAGGUAGACCAGACAGGAAACACGACCAGAUAAGCUAAUUCUACUUUAUUGUAAGGCUACAUUAACAGAAUC